UACGAAGGGGGCUAGCGUUGCUCGGAAUUACUGGGCGUAAAGCGCACGUAGGCGGAUUGUUAAGUCGGGGGUGAAAUCCUGGAGCUCAACUCCAGAACUGCCUUCGAUACUGGCGAUCUCGAGUUCGGGAGAGGUGAGUGGAACUGCGAGUGUAGAGGUGAAAUUCGUAGAUAUUAGGAAGAACACCGGUGGCGAAGGCGGCCCGCUGGAUCGGUACUGACGCUGAGGUGCGAAAGCGUGGGGAGCAAACAGG
rnacentral:rRNA from 1 species